AGCAGCCGCGGUAAUUCCAGCUCCAAUAGCGUAUAUUAAAGUUGUUGCAGUUAAAAAGCUCGUAGUUGAAUUUCGGGACCAAUUUGUUGGUCGUGCCUCGGUACGUACUGGUAUUAUUGGUUUCUCCCUUCUGAAGAACCUCGAUGCCAUUAAUUUGGUGUCGUGGGGAAUCAGGACUGUUACUUUGAAAAAAUUAGAGUGUUUAAAGCAAGCAUACGCUUGAAUACAUUAGCAUGGAAUAAUGAAAUAGGACGUUUGAUUCUAUUUUGUUGGUUUCUAGGAUCGACGUAAUGAUUAAUAGGGAUAGUUGGGGGCAUUAGUAUUCAAUUGUCAGAGGUGAAAUUCUUGGAUUUAUUGAAGACUAACUACUGCGAAAGCAUUUGCCAAGGAUGUUUUCAUUAAUCAAGAACGAAAGUUAGGGGAUCGAAGACGAUCAGAUACCGUCGUAGUCUUAACCAUAAACUAUGCCGACUAGGGAUCGGAUGAUGUAUUUUUAAUGACUCAUUCGGCGCCUUACGGG
rnacentral:rRNA from 1 species